GUGACCCCAGGAUGGGCGAGGCUACCCGCUGAGUUUAAGCAUAUCAAUAA
rnacentral:rRNA from 1 species